rnacentral:rRNA from 1 species
UACAGAGGUCUCAAGCGUUGUUCGGAUUCAUUGGGCGUAAAGGGUGCGUAGGCGGCGCGGUAAGUCGGGUGUGAAAUCUCGGAGCUUAACUCCGAAACUGCAUUCGAUACUGCCGUGCUUGAGGACUGGAGAGGUAGCUGGAAUUCUUGGUGUAGCAGUGAAAUGCGUAGAGAUCAAGAGGAACACUCGUGGCGAAAGCGAGCUACUGGACAAUUCCUGACGCUGAGGCUACGAAGGCCUAGGGUAGCGAAAGGG